GACGAACGCUGGCGGCGUGCUUAACACAUGCAAGUCGAACGAAGUGGCGAACGGGUGAGUAAUACGUGGGUAACCUGCCCUCCUUUUUGGGAUAAGCCUUGGAAACGGGGUCUAAUACCGAAUAAAGGGGGAUGGGCUCGCGGCCUAUCAGCUUGUUGGUGGGGUGAUGGCCUACCAAGGGGGUGACGGGGAGCCGGCCGGAGAGGGUGACCGGCCACAUUGGGACUAAGAUACGGCCCAGACUCCUACGGGAGGCAGCAGUAGGGGAUAUUGCGCAAUCGGGGAAACCCUGACGCAGCAACGCCGCGUGGAGGAUGACACUUUUCGGAGCGUAAACUCCUUUUGCGGUAUCUAACCAGAAAGCCACGGCUAACUACGUGCCAGCCGCCGCGGUAAUUC
rnacentral:rRNA from 1 species